UACGGGGGGAGCAAGCGUUGUUCGGAUUUACUGGGCGUAAAGGGCGCGUAGGCGGUCAGCACAAGUCAGUUGUGAAAUCUCCGGGCUUAACCCGGAAAGGUCAACUGAUACUGUGCGACUAGAGUGCGGAAGGGGCAACUGGAAUUCUCGGUGUAGCGGUGAAAUGCGUAGAUAUCGAGAGGAACACCUGCGGCGAAGGCGGGUUGCUGGGCCGACACUGACGCUGAGGUGCGAAAGUGCGGGGAGCAAACAGG
rnacentral:rRNA from 1 species